rnacentral:rRNA from 1 species
UAGUCAUAUGCUUGUCUCAGAGAUUAAGCCAUGCAUGUCUAAGUAUAAGCGAUCUUAUACAGCGAAACUGCGAAUGGCUCAUUAAAUCAGUUAUAGUCUACUUGAUCGUAUCUUCUUACAUGGAUAACCGUAGUAAAUCUAGAGCUAAUACAUGCUAAAAAUCCCGGACGCGGCAACGCGGAAGGGACGAGUUUAUUAGAUUAAAAACCGACACCUCUCCGCGAGGGGAGGUAGCACAGGUGAUUCACAGUAACCGAUCGGAUCGUCGGCCCCGCCGACGACGAUGCAUACGAGUUUCUGCCCUAUCAACUUUAGAUGGUAGGAUAGAGGCCUACCAUGGUGGUGACGGGUGACGGGGAAUUGGGUUCGAUUCCGGAGAGGGAGCCUGAGAGAUGGCUACCACUUCCAAGGAAGGCAGCAGGCGCGCAAAUUACCCAAUCCCGACACGGGGAGGUAGUGACAGUAAAUAACGAUGCGGGGCCGUAUGGUCUAGCAAUUGGAAUGAGAGGAAUGUAAAUGCGUUAGCGAGUAACGAUU